rnacentral:misc_RNA from 1 species
GGAAUCUCUCUCUAUGCUCUCUCUC